ACAACCAUAUCAUGUUGAAACAUUGGUUCUUGUAUGACCACCAAAGUUAAGUAAUGUUGAGCCUGGUCAGUACCUAGAUGGCUGACCACUUGAGAAUACCAGGUGCUGUAAG